rnacentral:lncRNA from 1 species
GGGUAGCCAUGCAAGUGGUACAAUUAUCGGAAGAAGCUGAAAUUCUCAUUUGCCAAUUCCCUCCAAGUCGAAGAUCAAAUAUAUCAGAGUUCUUAGCUAGGAAGUUUGUGUAAUGGUUGAAUCAAAAAUGGAAAAAUGUUUUGUAAUGAACUCUUUUGAUGAAUGAAAUGCCUAAAUAGGGGCUAUCUUGAAAUCAACACCCAUUUCUUGCAUUUCUUUCAUGAUUGACAUUCAUUUAUGCACUCAUUCAUUCAUUCAUUGCAUAUCCCAUAAUCGUUUGCUAAGGUUAAAACAUAAAUUCGCAGUUGUAAUACCAUGAAACUGAAACCGUGU